rnacentral:lncRNA from 1 species
AUGAUUUGGGAAUUAACUAACCUUCGGGUUAAUCAUCAGAAUCAAAAUUUUCAUCGUCUUUCAUGUACUUCUCCUGCACUGCUGCUGUUUAAUCCCAAUCUGUUUGUCCAAUAGCGAUUUUGCUGAACUCAACUGCACUAGCAUCAAUGCCUUGAAAUAUAUAUCCAUUCGUCUUGUCUAUUAGUUUCACAAGAUUUGUAACACUCUCUUUGUCCUGAAAAAAAAAAACGUCAAAACCAAUUAAUAUCAAUCAUGCGUACAUAUCCUACUUAAUAAAAUAGUUUGCAGAAAUCAUCAUGCCUGAAUAGCCAAGGUAGUGAAGUUCACCAAACCAAAAUCCUCAAUUACUUCACAGAGUUCUUUUGUGAGUU